rnacentral:rRNA from 1 species
CGGGUGAGUAACACGUGAGCAACCUGCCCUUGACUUCGGAAUACCAGCUGGAAACAGCUGCUAAUACCGGAUAUGACCUCUUCUCUCCUGGGAAGGGGUGGAAAGCUCCGGCGGUCAGGGAUGGGCUCGCGGCCUAUCAGCUUGUUGGUGAGGUAAUGGCUCACCAAGGCUUCGACGGGUAGCCGGCCUGAGAGGGCGACCGGCCACACUGGGACUGAGAUACGGCCCAG